GAUGAACGCUGGCGGCGUGCCUAAUACAUGCAAGUCGAGCGAACGGACGAGAAGCUUGCUUUUCUGAUGUUAGCGGCGGACGGGUGAGUAACACGUGGAUAACCUACCUAUAAGACUGGGAUAACUUCGGGAAACCGGAGCUAAUACCGGAUAAUAUUUUGAACCGCAUGGUUCAAAAGUGAAAGACGGUCUUGCUGUCACUUAUAGAUGGAUCCGCGCUGCAUUAGCUAGUUGGUAAGGUAACGGCUUACCAAGGCAACGAUGCAUAGCCGACCUGAGAGGGUGAUCGGCCACACUGGAACUGAGACACGGUCCAGACUCCUACGGGAGGCAGCAGUAGGAAAUCUUCCGCAAUGGGCGAAAGCCUGACGGAGCAACGCCGCGUGAGUGAUGAAGGUCUUCGGAUCGUAAAACGAUGUUAUUAGGGAAGAACAUAUGUGUAAGUAACUGUGCACAUCUUGACGGUACCUAAUCAGAAAGCCACGGCUAACUACGUG
rnacentral:rRNA from 1 species